CCUUUCUCCCUCCCCUUCCUUCUCAACAAUAUGUUUUUAUGAUAUUAACAUUAUUGUAUGUAACAAAAUAAAUGUGUAUUUGUACAUUCAUAAUCAUAAUAGUAAUGAAUAAUGAUUAUUAUAAAUUAUGUUUUUCUACGGUCUCUUUGAUGUACAGGGCAUGUACUCAUAUUGGAGCAGUUUUCACAUAGUCUGUGAUUGUGUCCACAUAAAUACAAUACUCCGGAUGAGAGACACUGACUGGUUUUAUGACAGCCAUCGCACUCCUCAUUGCUAUUGGUACUCUAUUUGAAAUAAAAUGAUCCAGCACAAUGUGUAUGAAGAAAAUAAGGAAUAUGCUACCUUAUUCUCUGUACUCCAAUUACAGUACAUGAUUUUGUAUGGGGACUAUGACUAAGUGUUGGAGUUUUCUUUGUUUUUGAAUGUGGAGCAUUCAAGUGUAUGGAAGUGAUAAUCAUUCAUUUAGGAUAUUAAGACUCCAUUAUGAAGGCUUGUUCUAAGAGGAAGCCCAGCUCCACAAAAGGAUAACAGAGGCCAAAGAACUUAUGACCACAUUAUUAUUAUAGAGAAUAUUAUUAAAAAUAGUCAGUAACUCAAAAUUCAUCCCUUUAAGUCAUGCAUUGACUAUGCUUUUUAUUUAUUAAUUAUUAUUGUA